GUGUCAGCAGCCGCGGUAAUACGGAGGGUGCGAGCGUUGUUCGGAAUCACUGGGCGUAAAGGGCGUGUAGGCGGUCCGCUAAGUCUGAUGUGAAAGCCCGGGGCUCACCCCCGGAAGGGCAUUGGAAACUGACGGACUCGAGUCCCGAAGAGGAGGGUGGAAUUCCUGGUGUAGCGGUGAAAUGCGUAGAUAUCAGGAGGAACACCGGUGGCGAAGGCGGCCCUCUGGACGGUGACUGACGCUGAGACGCGAAAGCGUGGGGAGCAAACAGGAUUAGAUACCCGUGUAGUCC
rnacentral:rRNA from 1 species